UACGGAGGGUGCAAGCGUUGUUCGGAUUCAUUGGGCGUAAAGGGUGCGUAGGUGGCGCUGUAAGUCGGGUGUGAAAUUUCGGAGCUUAACUCCGAAACUGCAUUCGAUACUGCGGUGCUUGAGGACUGGAGAGGAGACUGGAAUUCAUGGUGUAGCAGUGAAAUGCGUAGAGAUCAUGAGGAAGACCAGUGGCGAAGGCGGGUCUCUGGACAGUUCCUGACACUGAGGCACGAAGGCCAGGGGAGCAAACGGG
rnacentral:rRNA from 1 species